GACGAACGCUGGCGGCGUGCCUAAUACAUGCAAGUAGAACGCUGAAGAGAGGAGCUUGCUCUUCUUGGAUGAGUUGCGAACGGGUGAGUAACGCGUAGGUAACCUGCCUUGUAGCGGGGGAUAACUAUUGGAGACGAUAGCUAAUACCGCAUAACAAUGGAUGACACAUGUCAUUUAUUUGAAAGGGGCAAUUGCUCCACUACAGGAUGGACCUGCGUUGUAUUAGCUAGUAGGUGAGGUAAUGGCUCACCUAGGCGACGAUACAUAGCCGACCUGAGAGGGUGAUCGGCCACACUGGGACUGAGACACGGCCCAGACUCCUACGGGAGGCAGCAGUAGGGAAUCCUCGGCAAUGGGGGCAACCCUGACCGAGCAACGCCGCGUGAGUGAAGAAGGUUUUCGGAUCGUAAAGCUCUGUUGUAGGUCAAGAACGGGUGUGAGAGUGGAAAGUUCACACUGUGACGGUAGCUUACCAGAAAGGGACGGCUAACUACGUG
rnacentral:rRNA from 1 species